rnacentral:rRNA from 1 species
UACGUAGGUGGCAAGCGUUGUCCGGAUUUACUGGGCGUAAAGGAUGCGUAGGUGGAUAUUUAAGUGGGAUGUGAAAUACCCGAGCUCAACUUGGGUGCUGCAUUCCAAACUGGAUAUCUAGAGUGCAGGAGAGGUAAGCGGAAUUCCUAGUGUAGCGGUGAAAUGCGUAGAGAUUAGGAAGAACACCAGUGGCGAAGGCGACUUACUGGACUGUAACUGACACUGAGGCAUGAAAGCGUGGGGAGCAAACAGG